rnacentral:rRNA from 1 species
GUACACGCUGUGACUAGCAUAUCAAUAAGCGGAGGAAAAGAAACUAACAAGGAUUCCCCUAGUAACGGCGAGUGAAGCGGGAAGAGCUCAAAUUUGAAAUCUUAAAGGGUUUCCCUUUACGAAUUGUAGUUUAAAGAAGUGUUUUCUGUUGAGGUUUUGGUAAAAGUUCUUUGGAAUAGGACAUCAUAGAGGGUGAGAAUCCCGUAUUUGACCUUUACUUUCAACUUUGUGAUACACUUUCAAAGAGUCGGAUUGUUUGGGAAUGCAGUCCAAAAUGGGUGGUAAAUUUCAUCUAAAGCUAAAUAUUGGCGAGAGACCGAUAGCGAACAAGUACCGUGAGGGAAAGAUGAAAAGAACUUUGAAAAGAGAGUUAAACAGUACGUGAAAUUGUCAAAAGGGAAGCGUUUGACACCAGUGUUGUUUUUCUGAAAAUCAAUUAAAGAACUGUUUAUGCUAAGUUGUUUAGACUUUAUCAGCUAUCUGUUUAGUUUUGAGCUUUUCUUUAAUGCACUUUUCAGUUAACAAGUCAACAUCAAUUUCUUUUGCUGUAAAAAAGCUUGAGGAAGGUGGCUUGAGAUUCGUCUUAAGUGUUUAUAGCCUCUUGCCUAUGCAGUCGGAGAGAUUGAGGUCUGCAGCGUAGAUCCUUCGGGGCUAAAUGCAUUUGUGCUAAGUUAUAGCAUUUUAUAGACAACUUGUUGACUAUGAUUUGUCUUGUAGCUUACUCGCUUAUGUUAUUUUACCUACGCUUAGGAUGUUGACGAGACUGUCGAUCUC